rnacentral:lncRNA from 1 species
GCCUCAGCGACCAUGUCGAUGGCUCCGUCGAGCUCGCUCCGUGCCCUUGUCGCCCUCUCCCCUAUCCUCCCCUCCGGUUCCUCCUCUCCCUCUGCUCGCCCAGGGCUCCUUGGAGUGGCGGCACCGUUGGCGUACGCGCAGGCGCGGCGGCGGAGGGGGCCGUCGGUCGUGGCGCGGGCGGCGGCGGCGCCGUCGGACGCGGAGUGGCUG